UGCUUGUAUACCCUUGUAAAUAUGCCCUAAACAGCUCAUGAGGAAAGGUAAACGUUAAGAUGGGAACACACCAGCACCAGCCCCUGGUUUCAUCUCAGCCUCCAAUUAAAGUAUUAAGGCUCCAUGAAGAAAUCUGCUCUACUCUACAGCUGAAGGAGAGAAAGAAGAGAAGAAUGUAAAGAAAGCACAGCAAGACACAACAUCUGUAACCCAGCAUUAGGAAGAGGAGGCAAGAGGACCCAACCGAAAGUCCACAGCCAGCCUGGUCUACACAUGUCUUCAUCCUAAGAGACGUUAAAACUCCUAUCACUCAGCCAGGUGUAGUGACGCACACCUUUAAUCCCAGCACAACCAAGUCCCUGUCAGGGGAAGAAGAAGAAGGAAAAAAGCCUCAGGUCACUGACUCCCAGCCCCUCACAGCAUGUCAGGAAUGUGGUGCACAGUUCUAAGCUGCCACACAAACGUUGAUAAGCACUGUAAAGCACCAGGGAAGGGAGGACAGGGCAGCAUCCUAACAAGGCAAACUAGAGGAGCUCACACCCCAAGGCUCAAGACAAAGGAGAAGAGGUCUCAGGACUCUGGGCUUCAAACAAAUUCAGAAUUGCCCUAAGAAGACAGGGUAAUAUAUGAUGGACAAAUAAAAAAAUGGAGAGAAAACAAGCAAUAAUUGUAACUGAAUAAUGUCAUUCAUGAGAUGUGUUAAAACUACAAGGUGGCUCACUUUGAAUGUGAUUUUUAAUGCCCAUCACCACUCAUUCAGCUGUUUACCAAGGCCAAGUAUGUGCUAGGUGCUAGGAUCAACAGUGACUAGGUAGACAAGAUGUCCUCCUCCGUGGGAAAGUGAGGUAUGAGGAGGAGACAAGAGUUGAUGGAGACAUGGACGAAGACGGCGGCAGUGGGGCCAGCCCCAGGCCUGCACUCCCAUCAGCUGACUGCCCGCCUCUAGACUCCACCGAGAAAGAACAGGACUGGGCACAAGGGGUCCAAAGCAGACGUCAAAGCCGCCUACCACCUGCAGGGCAGAGAACAGAGGACAGCCUGCCUAGAACAUACUGGGCCCCCCACUGAGCAGAGACAGCAUAGGGAUCCUCUAGCAGCAUCCCACUGAGAAGGAGAACAAGAACUACCAGAGACUAGGAUCUUAGGGCUCACAGAGAUUCCAGGGGAACACAGAGGAGAGCUCCAGCAGCAGGUCUGACCACACGGUACGACAGGGGUCACCUAUGCUUCCAGGCUUGUCUGAUCCUUGACUUGAACACCAGCUCAGAGGCUCACCCUCCUUACCAAAGCUCGCCCCCUGCUCCCUUCAAGUCCCUUCAGACCACAAAACUCAGGCUCACCAUGUGCCACCUAUGUGCCAAGUGCUAGGAACUCGUGCAAACAGGCAGACAAAGGGGCUCCUAGGAGAACCCUGAGACCUCCUCCCUCAUCUUCACUGCCUCGGUGGCACUCAUCCUAGCCUCCACUGCAUCGAAAUGUGAGUGCUUUAAACGUAAGAGUGCCUGCUCUUCACGAAACUCCAAACCCAUGUCCACAGCUCAUUCUGUAAAGCCACCUAGACCCUGGUCAGCUUCAGCCCCUUAGGUCAGUAAGCCGCAGCCAGCUCCAGUCAUCCAUAGAAGCCCUUUCCUUCCUGUGCGUUAAAGACUGUCAGCUCCAGCCUUUCAGUUGCCUGGCAACAAAGCUUGACAGGGAGAAAAAUACACAGUUACAUUUAAAAUUCUAAGUGCAAAAAAUACAUAUAAUUUGCUACUAAAGACAGUCAUU